AGUGAACGCUGGCGGUAGGCCUAACACAUGCAAGUCGAACGGCAGCACAGUAAUAGCUUGCUCUUACGGGUGGCGAGUGGCGGACGGGUGAGGAAUACAUCGGAAUCUACUUUUUCGUGGGGGAUAACGUAGGGAAACUUACGCUAAUACCGCAUACGACCUACGGGUGAAAGCAGGGGAUCUUCGGACCUUGCGCGAUUGAAUGAGCCGAUGUCGGAUUAGCUAGUUGGCGGGUAAAGGCCCACCAAGGCGACGAUCCGUAGCUGGUCUGAGAGGAUGAUCAGCCACACUGGAACUGAGACACGGUCCAGACUCCUACGGGAGGCAGCAGUGGGGAAUAUUGGACAAUGGGCGCAAGCCUGAUCCAGCCAUACCGCGUGGGUGAAGAAGGCCUUCGGGUUGUAAAGCCCUUUUGUUGGGAAAGAAAAGCAGCAGGUUAAUACCCCGCUGUUCUGACGGUACCCAAAGAAUAAGCACCGGCUAACUUCGUG
rnacentral:rRNA from 1 species